rnacentral:lncRNA from 1 species
CUGGAACUCAUUUAUGGCGCUUGGGUGCAUUGAGGGGGAAGAUAAUAUUGGACGGACCACUCAGUAAUUUACAGAUGAUCGCAGAAACACCGAUGAAUCGUUGUCGCUUUGCUUAGUGUUCUGCUUCGCACCUGCGUGUUUGACAGUUAGCCGCUAGCCAGACACCUAGCCAGGGAGAGGCUAUACCAAAGACGGUACAUCAUGAAGAUCAUCGGGCACGCUUGUUGGCGAUGUUGGCUAGCAAAGCUCAUACGUAGAAACACGUUAUCGGGUCGUCUCGCGCCGAACUGCGCAUGUGCAUGUCGUCAACUCAGAGGCACUCCUAUAUAAAGUUGUUUUUGACGAAAAUGAAAACGUGUCAGUUUGUGACUCUCACAGGGUUGGAGUAAUAACAAGUUCAACUACAUAAGACAUUGGCUCGAAUCUAGGUUGUUCCUUUAGAUUUCGAGAAAACGUAUAAGUAAGUAAGAUCCCGGAAGUCUCGCGAUGUUACGCCUUCUGUCUUUGGCUAUAUGGACACACCUGGUGCCCAAAUUGAUGACGUAUGUAAGUAUAUCGCGCAGCUGAGAGUCAAGUGUGGAGUUUUGCAAUUGUUUUAGAUGCAAUUCCCGCAGAUGCGGAUUUAUUAUUGAGGAACGUGUCAAGACCUGGGCCCUGUUUCAGAAAGCAGGUUUAACAAACUCUGAGUUUAAACCUGAACUCUGGGUUGACUAACUCUGAGCUGUCAAACUCUUGAGUUUUCGGUUUCAGAGGAGGUGAUAACAAUUAGUUCAAUCAACUCUGAGUUAAGUUAACCCUGAGUAAAGCACGUGCAUGAGGAGAUAAAAAGCCCUAAUCAAAGGAACGCAGAUAACAUGAUUCAUCAUGGCAACAGGAGAAAAGGGCUCCAACCUCCUACUUGCCCAGUGGAGUUAGAAAUAUUAACAUAUGCAGAAUAUGAGCAUAUAUUUAAGGAAAAAAGCAAUGCAGCAGCAAAAGAACGUGAGUUGGCGUGGCAGAAAAUUGUUGAUCGAGUCAAUGCCCACUGAAGAUGAAAUAUACUUCAAACAGGAGGAUGAAGACACCUUGUCAGCUGCCACAGAGAGGGAAAAUACAGAGAGGCCUAUUGACGUUUACACCUUAAAAAUUACAUCUAACAGUUGAUGGUGUUGUACCAUAAUAAAACUUGCACCUUUUUCUCUAACAGAGCAAUGCUGGAAAUUACACCUACACAGCACAAUUUACCUCAGUAAGAUUUUGUUCAGCAUUGGCCCAUUACUUACAAUGAAAUUAAGUAGACCUGGCACUGAAAUUCAAUGUCAUUUUUUUGUGUUCCUAUAGCUCCCUGUGAAACAGCUGUACUAUGUGUACUUAAAGAACCAAAUUGAAAAAUGUAAUUUAGAUUUUACUUGUUUGAACAUAAAAGUAUUACUGUACUGCAUUUGUACUUGCAGGAAAUAAAGACUUCAUAAAAAGAAAGGCAUAUUGUCUUUAUUUGACACUGGGGAGGUGAUGGGUCAAUUAGAAAUGAUGGUAGCAUAUUGUGUCUGACUGCUCUUCCAUCUUCUGCGUCAGCGGGGUGGUGUCAGGAACGUUCACUGGUUGAGGACAUUGUUCUUCUCUUGUGGGGAAUCACACAUGCCACAAUGUCACGUGCCCUUUCUGGGGUGACCCUGAGCCUACGAAGGCACUGGAACAGGGCCUUGAGCAUCCCAAAGGUCAUCUCUACCCUGGAUCGUGUCCUGCAGUGAGCCAAGUUAUAACGUUGCUGCGGGCUAUGCCCAGGAUCAGGGUAAGGGGUCAGCAAAUAGAGCUGGCAGGGGUACUCUCUGUCACCAAGCAGGUUACCAUUGAACUCUCCUAUGAUAAUACGAGGCUACAGUUUAAAUUUUCA